AUUAGCUAGGCAUGGUGGCACAAGCCUGCAGUCCCAACUACUCAGGAGGCUGAAGUGGGAGUGUUAGAGUAGGUAGUUAGGCAGACAUGAACAUCAGAAGAAAAGCCCAUCCCCCACCAGUAAUGUCAGGCAACCAUUAGGUGAUGGUCAGGUAGUUGUUAAGCAGUCUCUUUAAAAUAAUAAUUGGUUGUAGCCAGUGCCAGAGAAGGGCAGUCUCCCAAUAUAUAGAAAACACUUGAAGGUGGUGGCCAACAGCUUCCCAAUAAGGAGCUGGGCAAGCAGGCUCAAGCAUGCACUAAGAGGCAAAAUGGCAUAGUUUAACUGGUGUAUGACCUUCCUCUAUGAACACUUGAGAAAAAACACCUCAAGUGAGCAUGCACACAACUUCAGUAAAUACACUGUGCAUGUGGCCUCUCACAAGUGCUGGCAGGCCACUGUGCAUGUGGACAGCCCACCCCAAGAAAAAAUCAAGAGAGGAGAGACACAAAACUCCAGAAGAAUGCCAACAUAUAAAACCCCAAGUCAAAGGUCAAACAGGGCACUUGGAUUUCUCAGGUUACCCACUUGGCCCUCUUCCAAGUUACUUUACUUUCUUUCAUUCCUGCUCUAAGACUUUUUAAUACACUCUCACUUCUGCUCAAAAACUUGCCUUGGUCUCUCACACUGACUUAUGCCCCCCAGACAAAUUCUUUCCUUUGAAGAGGCAAGAAUCAAGUUGGUGCAGACCGAUACAGAUUCAUUGCUGCUAACAUAGUUUGAUGCCACAUGGCUUGGAUACGUUCCCCAGUGAUAAGAAAUCUCUAUGCCUCUCCUUCUUUGGCUGGAGAAGAAGGAGACCUGUACGCAGUUUUCUUCUCCCCUUUCACUCUCCUGCUUACUAACCAAUCCCCAGAACAACUAUUCUCAGCCACAGUGGCUCUGCACCCCCUGGCUGAUCUCUCAGCUUAUCCUGACAGGUGGCUUACGGCAGGAGGGGGAAGGACCUUGGAGUCCACACCAUGUAGACCUGAAAUACUAAUGGCCCUCCUAGACAGGAGGCUCACGAGAGUGGUAGGGCUAAAGCCUAAGAUUGUGCAAUGUCUGCAAUUUCCUCUGCUUUUUCAAAUAUAAUUGGCUUUUUCCCUAAAACCCACACCACCUAUUCUCCUGUUUUCUCUAUGUGUAUUCUGAAAUGGCCUUGUGUACCCACCACUCUGUCUGCCUCAGGGGCAAGUGUGCCUUUUCUCUUCUUUCGUUUUGUAUGCCAUGCAAGUUCCUUCUCUACCUUAAACACACACUCCCUGUUAUUCGUGCACCCAUGGCUCUUGUUGCAUUUGUACAGCAGCAGAGAAACAGGCUCCCUUGCAGAUGUCUGUUGGCUUGUUGCCAGGAUAGACACGAAUCAGAACCCCAGUUCUGUCAGCUCCUUAUGACUUACCAUACACUUUUCAUCCUUGUUAUGCUCCAGGGUCAAGUUUUUGGUGGCUUUUGAAGCAGUUUUUAAUGGCUGCAUAGAACAUCGUUUUAUGGUUCUUUAAGGAUCUCUCUCCUACUUGCUUUUUUUGAGUUAGCACCCCUUUGGGAGGAGAGAAAAUUCUUCCUUUGCCAUUUGUGAGCUCUUAUCCCAAGCUCCAAGUUCUCCAAAGAUUCCUCUUUAUGUCAAGAGGGCAAAUAAACAUUGGUAUUUUGAAUCCCAAGGCUGCUGUUUAUUUGAGCAUAUGAAGGCUUUCCAUCAGUAUUCCUCACGCUUCCUCCCACUUUCUCCUGUAGCAGAGGGAUUGUCCUGUCUACUCAAGCAUCUGUUCUGGAUGUUACCCCGGGAGGACAGGGAACCUCAAAAACAAAAUUUUCUCCAUUCCUCUAAUCACUUCCAUACCCUCCUCAAUGUACAUAAGGACUCUCAAGGUCAUAUUUAAAGGGAGGGAAGUCCAGCCCCUUGCAGCAGUUGGCUGAAAAACAAGCUUCUCAUCUACUUAAAGAACAUGGGAAAUGGAUCAUAAAAAAAAAAAAAGAGAUAAUCAUUUUGUUGCUAGAAUGCUCUGAGUAAGAGUCACUGUAAGAUCAUGGAGAUAAGGAUAUAGGCCGGCCCAAGGUUGCAGGUGCAAGAGACAAAGUACCCAUAGGACAGAGAGAGAUAAAGGCUGGUCCCAGGCUACAGGCACAGAACAGACUACCAUUAGAACAGAGAUGAAGGCAAGCUUAGGGGUACCCGGUAAAACCGGUUCAUUCUGAAACUCCAAGGAUAAAUAGGGGACCCCUUUUCACUUGGGUAUUUCCUCUGUUCUCAAGUGGGUAAUUGUGAUGAGAUGGGACAGAGAUUUGGGUACCCAGUAAGACAUGUUCAUUCUGGAACCCUAAUGAUGAAUGGGGGAUGCCCUGUUCAGGAAAGGAUAAUAGGGAAAUAAAAGGAGAUACCUUCUUUUUCCUUUUUUUCUCCUUUGUUCUGUCUUCACAGAUGGGUAAUCACAUCUCCAUACUACAGUACAAACCCUUUGGAUGCAUCCUCGAGAACUGAAACUUUGACCCCCAAACCCUGAAAAGGAAAAGGCUAAUAUUUUUCUAUAUCACAGCCUGGUUUUAAUACAAGCUCCAGGAGCAGAAAUCUUGACCAGAAAGUGGAAGCAUAAAUUUUAAUAUGCUCUAUCAACUAGAUUUGUUUUGCCACUAGCAGGGAAAAUAGACAGAAAUCCCCUAUGUACAGGCCCUAAGAAAAAACCCAGACCUUUGUUGGGCUUGUAAAAUUGAUCCAGUGAUGAUAGCAGCCAUAGUCAGGCUGCCCCAUCUGGUUGGUUCGGGAGACCCCUCGUUGGGUUUACCCAGGGCUCAAGCCCUGGAGGAACCAAGAGUGGAGCUUAGCUCAAACCCUACCCUUUGACCCCAUUAUAUCCAAGUCUCCUGGCUUUGGAGCCUUCCCUUUCAUACCCAGGGCCAUCCUCUGGACACCACCCCCUUGAGUUAUGCUCCCUUCAAGAAGUUAGUUGACCUACUAGAGUUCAGACUCUAUUUAAUAUGCAAGACCUGAGUCAAAUUAAAACAGAACUACGGAAGCUUAUGGAGAUCCUGACAAAUGCAUCAAAGGGUUCCAUAAAGUGGGCUUAACAUUUGAACUCACUUGGAGGGAUCUCUCAGUCAUACUAGGACAAACCCUGUCUAAGGGAGAACAUGACUCCAUUAUGGAGGCUCCCCAACAAUUUGCAAAUGCAAUGCACAUGACUCCCUUGGGGGCUACCCUGUAUGGGUCACUACAGUUCCUUGGGUCAGCCCCAGUUUGGAUUACAAUACCCAGAGGGGUAUAUGAGCAAGGAAUUGCAUGUUCCUAUGUCUGUUAGAAGGAAUGAAAGCUAGCAGAGCCAAGCCUGUAAAUUAUAAUAAAAUUGGUCUUAAUAAAUCAAGGACCUCUUGGAAACCCCACCACUUUCCUAGAGAGGCUACAAGAGGCCCUGGUGAAACACACUAACCUAGACCUAGAGACACCAGAAGGGCAACUGGUCCUAAAGGAUCAUUUUUUAACUCAGGCAGGCCCACAUAUUUGGAGGAAACUCCAAAAACUAGCACUGGACCCCAACACCCUUAUGCCUCACAUCUUCAAAAUAGCUUCCUCUGUCUUUUACAACCAGGACUGAAGAGGAAAGUGCUCAGGGAAAGAAGAGGUGAAAGGAAAAGCAGCAGUUCCAACUAUUGUCUGCCCUGAAAAUCCACCAGCCCUCUCCAAGUUGCCCUCAGAAUACCCUCCCAGUUAACUGCCAUCAGUGUGGGAAGCCAAGACACUGGAAGACAAACUGCCACAGUGGGACAGAUGAUCAAGUUCCAGAUGAUCCUCAGUGAGGGAUACCAUCCUCUUAAUAUUCAAGAGUCACCCUUCUACCGAGGACCCCUAGACUUCCCAUCAGUGGGACAUGGCAGAGGUGAAAUCCUGCCCAUCUCCCUUAGACCUGACUGGGUACUACUUUCACCAACCCAUGCAGCCACCCUGCCCUGACAGCUAGGAAGAGGCCAAGACUCACGGAACAAUCACUACCACACCUCUGUUGGCAGGAAGCAGUUACAGAAGACUGAUCAUCAUCCAUUUUCCCAAAGAAUUGGGUCGUGAAUUCUUGUGGGGGGAAAUGUUAGAGUAGGUAAUCAGGCAGACAUGAGCAAGGGAGGAGAGACCCCCUCCAACUAGGAAUGUCAGGUGACCAUCAGAUGAUCGUCAGGUGGUUGUUAAACUCUCUCUCUAAAAUAAUAAUAGGUUGCAACUGGCAACAGGGAAAGAAAAUCUCCCAAUAGAUAGAAAACUCCUGAAGCUAGUGAUCAGCUGCUUCCUAGUAAGAUCUCAGGAGUUGGGCAAGCAGGCUCAAACAUGUGCACUAAGAGGCAAAAUGGUGGAGUUUAACUGGUAUACGGACUUCCUCUAGAAACACAUGACUCAUGCACGUGUGGACAGCCUUCCCCAAGGAAAACUCAAAAGAGGAGAGAUGUAAAACCCCAGAAGCAUGCCAAUAUAUAAAACCCCAAGUCUAAGGUCAAAUAGGGCACUUGGAUUUCUCAAGUUGCCCACUUGGCCGUCUUCUAAGUGUACUUUACUUCCUUGCAUUCCUGCUCUGAAACUUUUUAAACUUUCACUCCUGCUCAGAAACUUGCCUCAGUCUUUCACUCUACCUUAUGCCCCUUGGAAGAAUUAUUUCCUUCAAGGAGGCAAAAAUCCAGCUGCUGCACACCCAUACAGAUUUGCUGCUGCUAACAGGAGGAUAGCUUAAGUCCAGAAGGUUAAGGCUGCAGUGAACCAUGAUUAUGCCACUGCUCUCCAGCCUGGCAACAGAAUGAGACUCUAUUUUUUUUUAAUUCUAAUAAGACUUUUUACAAAAAGCAAAAUGAUAAUGGAACUAAAAAUGUACGUUGACUGACUUAACUCCAACUGCUUUUUCCCUCAAUUGAAACCACCUUUGCAAAAAUUAUAACAGUGAGAAAAUUAUGGCAGUAGGGGUGAUCUGAUCAAGCCAAACUCCAUCUUGCCUUUAGCCUUCAAGCUGCCCAUAAUUAUUCCUGGGCUUAGGCCAAACUAACUUUGGGAGACACUUGGUCUGUAGUUUAAAUGAUAAUAGUCCUUCCCUAACAUUCCAUCACCUCAGCAAAGCUGAUGAGAGGCCAGCAGGCUAGGAGGAUAGAGGAACCUGAAUUCUGCUAAGGUGUAGAUAUAAACAAUUUCCAGCCACUAUUCUGGAGGUCACAAAAUACACAACUGCUUCAAUUACUCCUGCAGAUAACAUCAGUAUUUUAGAAUCUAAGAUUGGCCUUUUGAGAUGUCUUUUCAGGUUUUCUGUGUCUGACUACUGAUGGCUCCACCUGGACCCACCAACCACUCCUGUGGCCCCAUCCAGAGGCGACUCAGCAUGCGUAAGGACUAUUUCCCACACCGUUAUGAUUGCAUCCCCAACCAAUUAGCAGCAAGCACUUAUUGCCUAACCAGCCCCAUUCCUCCCCAAACCAUCCAUGAAAAACCCUAGCUUUCAAAUUUCCAGGGAAGCUGAUCUGAGCAAUAAUAAAACACGUCUCCCAUUUAGCCAACUCUACAUGUGUAAAACUCUUUCUCUAUUGCAAUUCCCUUGCUGCCUUGAUAAAUGAUAAAUCAGCUCUAUCUGGGCAGCAGGCAAGAAGAACCUGUUGAGUCCUUACAGUAUCCUUCUUUCUACACUCCUCUGCCUAAUUACUCUGAAUCUACUAACUUUUUCACUCAGUUAUUUUUCCACUUUGAAGACAAAAAGUUACAAAAAAAAAUGCCUUUUGAAAUUAGUCCCUCAGAAUAAACCAGCUGGGCUUUCUUUAGCCACCUGUAUGCCUUAGUCAAAUCUAAGCUCAGAGACAAUAGUGAAAGGCUUUCUUAUCCCAAAGGAAAACUCUCAGAAAUUUGCUGACGCUAUCCAUGCUGAAUCUAGGUAUAGAACAUGCUUUGCCCUAUUUACUCAUGGGCACCAUCCUGAACUCAGUAAUCUAGCUUUUUUUUUUAAGCUGGGUUGGGAAGACACAGAUGUAACUGAAUUAGUUGCCAAAAUAUGCUAUCUGGCAUAAAGAUUAUUUUGAGAGAGUUACUUUGAGACUCUUUGUAAGAGAAAUUUAUGUCUACAAAGGAAGUCUAUAUUUAUAAGCUCGUCUCUCUCUCUCUCUGCAUCAGGAAGAAAAGAAGGACUAAAUCACCAAACAGUCUUAA